GACGAACGCUGGCGGCGUGCUUAACACAUGCAAGUCGAACGGAAAGGCCCUGCUUUUGUGGGGUGCUCGAGUGGCGAACGGGUGAGUAACAAGUGAGUAACCUGCCCUUGACUUUGGGAUAACUUCAGGAAACUGGGGCUAAUACCGGAUAGGAGCUCCUGCUGCAUGGUGGGGGUUGGAAAGUUUCGGCGGUUGGGGAUGGACUCGCGGCUUAUCAGCUUGUUGGUGGGGUAGUGGCUUACCAAGGCUUUGACGGGUAGCCGGCCUGAGAGGGUGACCGGCCACAUUGGGACUGAGAUACGGCGCAGACUCCUACGGGAGGCAGCAGUGGGGAAUAUUGCACAGUGGGCGGAAGCCUGAUGCAGAAACGCCGCGUGCGGGAUGACGGCCUUCGGGUUGUAAACCGCUUUCGCCUGUGACGAAGCGUGAGUGACGGUAAUGGGUAAAGAAGCACCGGCUAACUACGUG
rnacentral:rRNA from 1 species